AUACGUAGGGUGCAAGCGUUAAUCGGAAUUACUGGGCGUAAAGCGUGCGCAGGCGGUUUUGUAAGACAGUGGUGAAAUCCCCGGGCUCAACCUGGGAACUGCCAUUGUGACUGCAAAGCUAGAGUGCGGCAGGAGGGGAUGGAAUUCCGCGUGUAGCAGUAGAAAUGCGUAGAUAUGCGGAGGAACACCGAUGGCGAAGGCAACUCCCCGUGGGCCUGCACUGACGCUCAUG
rnacentral:rRNA from 1 species